rnacentral:rRNA from 2 species
UACGUAGGCAGCAAGCGUUGUUCGGAGUUACUGGGCGUAAAGAGUAUGUAGGCGGUUGGGUAAGUUUGGUGUGAAAUCUCCCGGCUUAACUGGGAGGGUGCGCUAAAGACUGCCUGGCUCGAGUGUGGGAGAGGAAAGCGGAAUUCCUGGUGUAGCGGUGAAAUGCGUAGAUAUCAGGAGGAACACCUGCGGUGUAGACGGCUUUCUGGACCAUAACUGACGCUGAGAUACGAAAGCGUGGGUAGCAAACAGG